GAUGAAGAACGCAGCGAAAUGCGAUAAGUAAUGUGAAUUGCAGAAUUCAGUGAAUCAUCGAAUCUUUGAACGCACAUUGCGCCCGUCAGUAUUCUGGCGGGCAUGCCUGUUCGAGCGUCAUUACGCCCCUCAAGUCCCCUGUGGACUUGGUGUUGGGGAUCGGCGAGGCUUGUUUUCCAGCACAGCCGUCCCUUAAAUUAAUUGGCGGUCUCGCCGUGGCCCUCCUCUGCGCAGUAGUAAAACACUCGCAACAGGAGCCCGGCGCGGUCCACUGCCGUAAAACCCCCCAACUUUUUAUAGUUGACCUCGAAUCAGGUAGGACUACCCGCUGAACUUAAGCAUAUCAAUAAGCGGAGGA
rnacentral:misc_RNA from 1 species